CAUGGAUUAUCCUAGCCAAGAUUUUGCUAAAUUAAAAUACAGUGAUACAUCAACUUCAAUAAUCCGGAAGAGUCAAUCUCAUUUUGAUCCACACACAAAUUUCGCAAGUACUUAACUGUACCUAGUAGUCUUCCGUCACUAUAUUAGAAAUCUAAAUAAUCCGGUACCAAAGUACAGUGAGUUGCUUGUAAGUCACUAUGGUGAUCUCAGGUCUGAAGGAUACUUAUACCCAUGUGUUUAGCAAGCAGCUCUUGACAGCAGAAUACUUAGCAGGUGAGUCAUUUGUUCAGUGAUGAUGUACCUCUAAAUCUCACCUGUAUGCCAUACCAGUAUCACCACACUCCUUGGUUAAGAGGACAACCAAUCCAUAUGGCACACAACGACCUCUACUCGAUAAACAUCAUUGUCCUAUAAUGACGUAUCAUUUGGUCGCGAACAUAUUUAAGAACUAUACGAUAAAUUCUCUGUUUAUCGCACACUAGCAUAGUUCUAAGGACUUCAUCACAAC
rnacentral:lncRNA from 1 species